GGGAGCGGCCGGUUCUGGGGACGCAGUCGCCCCUCUUGCCUCAUCGCUCGGCCCUCACUCUGCCCACCCGCGAGCCCGCGACCGCUGCUUCUGCCCGGUGGCCCGUGAGGAGAAGACCGGAAACUUCUGGGGUCGAGGCAGCUGGAGGAAACGAAGGGAAGAGGGAAGGACGAUGGAUGUGCACGCGUUCCCGGGUGCGCGGCCUCGCUUCCGAAGUGGCUCAAGGAGGGGCCAACUCCUGGCAUCCCCUGCAGAGGGGCACGUCCCCUUUACUGUUAGCCUCAACCACAGACUUGCCUGUCCUGCACACAGGGGCAGAAAUGAUACUUUGGUUCCUGGGCGUUAGAACUAUUUUGAGGGUUCUGUUUAAAAAUUUUAGAAAAGCUUUAGAAUCACUAGGCAUAUUUUGGUGGGAAGGUAGAAAAAAAAAAAGAAACCUUUUUCCUUCUGUGUGGAAACCUAGCUGUAUAGAUAGGGCUUGUACUAGGUGGAAGUGCCCACCUACAAGGGCCAAAUUAAAUUAAGAAUAAAAUUCUUUGACAAA